rnacentral:rRNA from 1 species
AUUGAACGCUGGCGGCAGGCCUAACACAUGCAAGUCGAGCGCGCGGCGGACGGGCGAACAAUGUAUGGGCAUCUGCGCGAUAGAGGGGGAUAACUACUGGAAACGGUGGCUAAUACCGCAUACUACGCUAUGGACCCAUACGGGAUUAGCUAGUAGGUGGGGUAUAGGCUCACCUAGGCGACGGUCGCUAGCUGGUCUGAGAGGAUGAGCAGCCACACUGGGACUGAGACAAGGCCCAGACUCCUACGGGAGGCAGCAGUGGGGAAUAUUGCACAAUGGGCGCAAGCCUGAUGCAGCCAUGCCGCGUGUAUGAAGAAGGCCUUAGGGUUGUAAAGUACUUUCAGCGGGGAGGCGUUACCCGCAGAAGAAGCACCGGCUAACUCCGUGGCAGCAGCCGCGGUAAUUC